UUUUUCUGGAUCCUUUGGAAGAAAGGAAGGACUCAACAGAUGUGUAUUUGUUUUAAGUUUUUUGAAGCCUCUGUUAUUAGUGGAAGGCCUGUGCAGAGAAGCAUGUCCUGCCCUGUCUUUAAAAAGCAAGACUUGACUUAUGCUAAUCUUUGGAAGCAGGAAGUUCAACAACCAGGAAUCUUUUACUGAUAAUUCUUUCCCCAACACUCAGAUGUUUCAUCCAAGGCUCCAUCAGUCAUAGCUCUGCUAUAGAUCAAAGAAUUCUGCAGUAGAUAUUGUACGCAGAAAGGCCAUCCUUGUGGUAGUCCAGUCCUGGUGCUUUGCAGAUUAAGAACAAGACCUUGAUGUUGCUCAAGUACUGAACUGGGAGACAAUGUGGAAUACGAAGAGAACAUAUCAUCUUGAUGUUCCAGUCAGAAGAUGGGUUGCUACAUAUUGGAACUACUGAAGCUUUUGUGUUCCAGGCCUCAGAAAGGUGAUCUCUGUUACUUUCCACCCCUUCAGAAAGGUACUCCAGCCUGGUUCUAUUUGCAGGGUUGCAAAGAAUCUUCUGUCUGAGGGAGUUAUUCCUACGAAAGGCCAGAAGAACUCUCUAGUGCCGCUGUAGGAUGAGUUUAUUAAUAUCCUCCUUGAAUUGUGGACAUCAGAACUGGAUAGUGAUUCCAGCGGUGAUCACACCAGCCACAGAUAUACAGGAUGUGUUGGUGCCCCCAGCAGGCUCUGAGGGAAAUAAAACGUCUACCAAGAGGCUAAAGUUGGUUCCUUACUCCAAUUCUUUAUUUGUGGCUCCCAAAGGCCAAAAUUAUUUUAAGAAUAUCGGUGUAAGAUUAAAUUUCUAGAAACUUCAUCAAAUUAAUGUGAUUGUGACAAAUGUUAAUUACUAAUUAAUUAAAUAAGAAGCUGAGUUUUGAUAGACAGUAUAUGACAACAUAAGUUUCUGAUCACUUUUCUUGAUUGUGGAAGCACAGCUCUUCGUACAUCCAAAAAGCUCCUCUUAAAGAACUCUCAAUUUUCAUUCACAUUUUUCUGUCUAAUUUUUCUCCCAAUCAAUUUCAUUCAUAAUUUUCCUCAGCUUUGGGAGAUUAGCCCUCUUGUAGAACCAAGUCUAUAUAUAUUACUGGUUGGGACUGUUCUCUGUGUUUGCCUAUAUUGAAUGUAAUCAGGUCAUGAUCACUGGUCCCCUACCACCAACAUCCAGUGCAGUGAUUAAUUCACCAUUACCUGUCAUAAUGACACCCAAAACGGAGCUACCUCCUGCUGUAUGCAGUACCUCAUGUGUUAGAAAGUUAUCUAUAAUUUCUAAUAACUGGAAUGAUGUUUUAUUAGUGGCUGCAUGAGGCCUCCAGCGUGUCUCCUAAAUUGAAUUCCCCCAUAACAGCACCAUUUCUGUCAACACAUUAAGCAUUGGUCUGUAAGGAGUAACUCAUAUUGUUCUCAGGUUUGAUUUAGUGGCCUGUAACAGACCCUAUCCUAGGCUUUAUUAAUUAGCACAUUGAUCCAUGUACAUUCAAGACCCUGUGGUUCUGAAUUAUUCUAAAACAGAUAAUGGUGUUUUUAAAUUAAGGUGCUACUCCCCCCCC